UGUCUCAGUUCGGAUUGGAGUCUGCAACCCGACUCCAUGAAGCUGGAUUCGCUAGUAAUCGCGCAUCAGCCACGGCGCGGUGAAUACGUUCCCGGGCCUUGUACACACCGCCCGUCAAGCCAUGGAAGCCGGGAGUGCCUGAAGUGCGUGAGCGCAAGCAGCGCCCUAAGGUAAAACCGGUGACUGGGGCUAAGUCGUAACAAGGUACC
rnacentral:rRNA from 1 species